rnacentral:tRNA from 1 species
CGAGGGGCCUAAAAGACCUGCUAACUCUUUAAUCUGGAACUAACAUCCAACCCCC